rnacentral:rRNA from 1 species
GACGAACGCUGGCGGCGUGCUUAACACAUGCAAGUCGAACGAAGAGCGAUGGAAGCUUGCUUCUAUCAAUCUUAGUGGCGAACGGGUGAGUAACGCGUAAUCAACCUGCCCUUCAGAGGGGGACAACAGUUGGAAACGACUGCUAAUACCGCAUACGAUCUAAUCUCGGCAUCGAGGAUAGAUGAAAGGUGGCCUCUACAUGUAAGCUAUCACUGAAGGAGGGGAUUGCGUCUGAUUAGCUAGUUGGAGGGGUAGCGGCCCACCAAGGCGAUGAUCAGUAGCCGGUCUGAGAGGAUGAACGGCCACAUUGGGACUGAGACACGGCCCAGACUCCUACGGGAGGCAGCAGUGGGGAAUCUUCCGCAAUGGACGAAAGUCUGACGGAGCAACGCCGCGUGAGUGAUGACGGCCUUCGGGUUGUAAAGCUCUGUUAAUCGGGACGAAAGGCCUUCUUGCGAAUAGUGAGAAGGAUUGACGGUACCGGAAUAGAAAGCCACGGCUAACUACGUG